rnacentral:rRNA from 1 species
GACAGAGGAUGCAAGCGUUAUCCGGAAUGAUUGGGCGUAAAGCGUCUGUAGGUGGCUUUUCAAGUCCGCCGUCAAAUCCCAGGGCUCAACCCUGGACAGGCGGUGGAAACUACCAAGCUGGAGUACGGUAGGGGCAGAGGGAAUUUCCGGUGGAGCGGUGAAAUGCGUAGAGAUCGGAAAGAACACCAAUGGCGAAAGCGGCUUCCUGGUCCAGCACCGACGUUCAGGCACGAAAGCGUGGGGAGCAAACAGG